ensembl:ncRNA F10C1.13 ncRNA
GCCUUUUGAUGACUCAAAUGGGUGUGUCCCUUCCUCUUCUAUUUAUGUAAAGGAGGACACGCAAAAAAAGAGUGAAAAAAAUGAAGAAAAAGAGGCGAGAGGAACGCCUUCUAAUUGGUGUCGUCUGGACACUCGUCAUCA